rnacentral:lncRNA from 1 species
CGCUGGUAUUUGUGGACCCUGCCAGUGGGGGUUGUGUGCUGGUAUUCAGUGGACCCCGCCAAUGGGGGUUAAACGUUGGUCAUAGUCGAGGCUGUUGAGUUACGAGUGUUUUGAAUCGAAUUGGAUUUAUGAUUAUAUUAUAUGUGAAUAUUUGAAAAGAUUGGAUUUGUAUAAAAUCAGCAUGAAAUAUAUUUUUAUGUUUAUUUACAGUAUUAUUCUUGAAAAUUAUAUAAUAUCUGA